GUCCCUGUGGGCUGGUGUACACAACUAAUGUCUUGAGACAGUGGUGUGGGCUGUGGGGAUGACUGACAGGUACACAAGAGAGAUGAAUUGAAGUUUUGCGAAGAUGGAAUCUCCGUUAGUGUGCCUCUGUUGUGGAUUCAGGGACACGUGGUAUCAUACAAUGAGGAUAAAAGUGAGGUGAUCCUAGAAGAUGAAGGCUUUAUGAUUAAAAUCACCAACUGUCAAAAUAAUCCCUGUGGAAGCUCAUGGAUAUCAGAAGGUCAAUAUGUAAUGGUAGUUGGGGAAAUUAACAAAGUUGCUGGUGACAAAGUAGUGCAGACAGUCAAGAUGUCUGACCUUUCUGCCAGUGAAAUCCACCAAGCUACCUGGAGCUAUGAAGUUGCAGAAUUUAAAAUGUUAAUGAAAGAAAAUCCAAGCAUAUUUGAAUGAUGUACUGUACAUUUAAUGGAAUGAUAAAACCAAAGAAUUAAUCAUGUUACUGUUUAAAAAUUUAUUUUUAAAAUCUCUGAUUACUAACUAAUUUUUAUAAAAGAAUGAUGAAAUAGAAA
rnacentral:misc_RNA from 1 species